GCCGCUUUAGCUCAGUGGUAGAGCGCAUCCUUGGUAAGGAUGAGGUCUCGAGUUCAACUCUCGAAAGCGGCU
rnacentral:tRNA from 1 species